rnacentral:rRNA from 1 species
UUGACCUCGGAUCAGGUAGGGAUACCCGCUGAACUUAAGCAUAUCAAUAAGCGGAGGAAAAGAAACCAACAGGGAUUGCCCUAGUAACGGCGAGUGAAGCGGCAACAGCUCAAAUUUGAAAUCUGGCCUCUUUGGGGGUCCGAGUUGUAAUUUGCAGAGGGUGCUUUGGCGUUGGCUGUGGUCUAAGUUCCUUGGAACAGGACGUCGCAAAGGGUGAGAAUCCCGUAUGUGGCCGCCAGUCUUCGCCGUGUAAAGCCCCUUCGACGAGUCGAGUUGUUUGGGAAUGCAGCUCUAAAUGGGAAGUAAAUUUCUUCUAAGCNUAAUAUUGGCCAGAGACCGAUAGCGCACAAGUAGAGU